UACAGAGGUCUCAAGCGUUGUUCGGAUUCAUUGGGCGUAAAGGGUGCGUAGGCGGCGCGGUAAGUCGGAUGUGAAAUCUCGGAGCUUAACUCCGAAACUGCAUUCGAUACUGCCGUGCUUGAGGACUGGAGAGGAGACUGGAAUUUACGGUGUAGCGGUGAAAUGCGUAGAUAUCGUAAGGAAGACCAGUGGCGAAGGCGGGUCUCUGGACCUCUGCUGACGCUGAGGCGCGAAAGCGUGGGGAGCGAUCCGG
rnacentral:rRNA from 1 species